rnacentral:miRNA from 1 species
CUCUUUGCUCCGGUCUCGACAACGGGUAUUCUUGGGUUGAUAAUACAGAUGUGGAUGUUAUUGCUUGAGAAUACGCGUAGUCGAGAGGAAGCUUUGUC